ensembl:lncRNA
UGCCUCAGAGUCUGACCUAUUUUGCGGGUCGACAGCAGAGUCAGAGAAAGCUGUGUCAGAGAGCUGGCAUCCCAGCUAGCUCCUAGGCUCUGUACACUACCCAUGCCCCACACCACAUGGAGGAGCUGGGGUGAUGUCUAUUUCUGGAGACUCAGCUGAUAUCCUACCUGAAAUCUACUUUAAUGCAAUCUACGGUAGAUACAUGGACAUCUGAGAGCUGUAAAUGCUUAGUGCAUAAUCCAAAACCUGGCACAGAUUUUCAAAGAGGAGG